AGUCGGACCCUCAACCCACUGAGCCACCCAGGCACCCUAAAGGCUUCCAGCUGGCUCCCCAGCGGGGAAGUCAGAAACUGCCCUGGGACUUCCAGGUCUCUGUUUCCAAUUACCAAGCACGACCGGGCAGCUGGGACACCAAUCCAACCAUUCAUCUGACGGAUAAUGGGAAAACAGGCCUCAGCUUUGUGCCCAGCUGGAAUGCAAAAGUAAGAUCGGCAUGAAGAAUUGAAUAAGGACUGUGUGAAAGUCUUACUGGAAGCAAGAGGCUUCUGUUGGAAAGAUGAAAUGAUUUCCACAGUACCUUCAUGCCAAUUGGAUACAGGUAUUCCUGGCCCCAUUUCACCAUUGGUCAGACAGAGAACUAAUAAAUAUGAGAGAGAAGAUCAGCAUGGACAUUGCAGCUUUGAAGGAAACACACACAGAUGUGGAAAGACCCAGAUCUCACUUCUCUAACAAGCUCCUCUCAUGGGCUAGAAGAAACUUGAAUGUACGGAUCUCCUGAUUUAAUACCAAGAAGAAAGUUGAGUUUUCAGACCUGACUGAAGAAGCACGUGGCAAGUUUGGAGAAAUGAUACUGGGAUACAGACUUUACAUCUGGAGUUGCAGCAGCCAACUUGUGACCCUGAGAAACAAAAGUCACAUGCUAAGGAUGGUGACCCAAGGAACAAGACAGAGUUGGGGUCCCUCAGGACAUCAUACAGUCACUGUACCAGUUCUGGUAUGUUCAUG